rnacentral:rRNA from 1 species
CCUACGGGGCGCUGCAGUGGGGAAUAUUGGACAAUGGGGGCAACCCUGAUCCAGCCAUGCCGCGUGUGUGAAGAAGGCCCUCGGGUUGUAAAGCACUUUCAGUGAGGAAGAACGCCUGGUGGUUAAUACCCAUCAGGAAAGACAUCACUCACAGAAGAAGCACCGGCUAACUCCGUGCCAGCAGCCGCGGUAAUACGGAGGGUGCGAGCGUUAAUCGGAAUUACUGGGCGUAAAGCGCGCGUAGGUGGCUUGAUAAGCCGGUUGUGAAAGCCCCGGGCUCAACCUGGGAACGGCAUCCGGAACUGUCAAGCUAGAGUGCAGGAGAGGAAGGUAGAAUUCCCGGUGUAGCGGUGAAAUGCGUAGAGAUCGGGAGGAAUACCAGUGGCGAAGGCGGCCUUCUGGACUGACACUGACACUGAGGUGCGAAAGCGUGGGUAGCAAACAGGAUUAGAUACCCGAGUAGUC